rnacentral:rRNA from 1 species
UACGAAGGGGGCUAGCGUUGUUCGGAAUCACUGGGCGUAAAGCGCACGUAGGCGGAUCUUUAAGUCAGAGGUGAAAUCCCAAGGCUCAACCUUGGAACUGCCUUUGAUACUGGGGAUCUUGAGUCCGGGAGAGGUGAGUGGAACUGCGAGUGUAGAGGUGAAAUUCGUAGAUAUUCGCAAGAACACCAGUGGCGAAGGCGGCUCACUGGCCCGGUACUGACGCUGAGGUGCGAAAGGCGUGGGGAGCAAACAGG